ensembl:lncRNA
CCCCAUUCUUCUUCCUGCCUCAUUGUGAUCACCACACGCAGAGCGGUCGCCGUGUCUCUCGCUGUUUGCCGUCUUACUCAUUCCUGCCAAGGGAUCAAAAGACACCUAACCUCCGGACAAAAUACCUUACCUACCAGAUUGGAUGCCAUGUGAUGGGUGGUUCAAGAAGCCACCGCGGUGACACAUACUGGAAUUUGUGUUGUCUGCUUUCGGAAUGUGGACAUACGGAGAAAAGCAUUCCUGGUGGUAGAGUUUAAAUUCCUCCACAACACUUGCGUACAACCAAACCAGGCUGAUGGUGGCAUCUGUUCUUGAGGUCAAACUGUUGAACAAAGGAGGCAAACCCCUGUGUUCCCCAGGCACCACGGGACUGACCGCUGCCCCCACCCAGACGAACCGGAUAAUCCCAUAAGAGCUCGCUGGAUGACUGAGCCAAUGAACACAAGUCCCAAGGCGAAGCAACCAUCCCCGAUUGCCCUCCAGGGGUGGAGACGGCUGCCGGAGAACGUAGGGACCGAAGUGGCACUUUGGUUGUAAGCAAGCAAACACAGUUGAACCCUCACCCCCCCUGUGUCCCGCUGUGUCUCCCUCCGGGUGUUCUCAUCACAAGCUACACAGCAUCUCUGAGUGAAACACCCUCAGCAACACAGGCCAUAGAAAGGCAAAGGUGACGGGAGCAAGUUUUUCACCAUUUCAAACGUACAGAGCCA